rnacentral:rRNA from 1 species
CCCUUAGAUGUCCGGGGCUGCACGCGCGCUACACUGAUGCAUUCAACGAGUUUCUUCCUGGUCCGAGAGGAAUGGGUAACCUUUUGAAAGUGCAUCGUGAUAGGGAUAGACUAUUGCAAUUAUUGGUCUUCAACGAGGAAUUCCUAGUAGACGUAGUUCAUCAGACUGCAUCGAUUACGUCCCUGCCCUUUGUACACACCGCCCGUCGCUCCUACCGAUUGAAUGCUCAGGUGAGCCAUUCGGACUUUCAUCAUGCUGGUUUCCAGUUUUGAUGAAGGAAAGUCUUGCGAACCUUAUCAUUUAGAGGAAGGAGAAGUCGUAACA